UACGUAGGGGCAAGCGUUGUCCGGAAUUAUUGGGCGUAAAGAGCGCGUAGGCGGUCCGAUAAGUCGGCUGUGAAAGUCAGGGGCUCAACCCUUGAAAGCCGGCCGAUACUGUCGGACUAGAGUCCGGAAGAGGCAAGUGGAAUUCCCGGUGUAGCGGUGAAAUGCGCAGAUAUCGGGAGGAACACCAAUGGCGAAGGCAGCUGCUGGUUGCACCGUGACGCUGAGUUGCGAAAGUG
rnacentral:rRNA from 1 species